GAUCAUGGCUCAGGAUGAACGCUAGCUACAGGCUUAACACAUGCAAGUCGAGGGGCAUCAGUUUGGUUUGCUUGCAAACCAAAGCUGGCGACCGGCGCACGGGUGAGUAACACGUAUCCAACCUGCCUCAUACUCGGGGAUAGCCUUUCGAAAGAAAGAUUAAUAUCCGAUAGCAUAUAUUUCCCGCAUGGGUUUUAUAUUAAAGAAAUUCGGUAUGAGAUGGGGAUGCGUUCCAUUUAG
rnacentral:rRNA from 1 species